rnacentral:lncRNA from 1 species
GGGCCCCCCGGAGCGCCCAGCUGGGCCCUGACCUGUGUUGUCCCCCAGGACGCCCACCAUGAAGCUCUGGCUGUCCCUGGUGUGCUUGGCCACCGUGGCUGCGGCGUCUGUCACCCCGGGGCCCGGGCUGGAGGCCCCUCCCCAAAGGCCGAAGCCGACCGUGCUGCAGCUGGUGCCAGCUCCUGCCGACCGCCCGGGCACAGAGGGGUACGCGGGGACGACGAGCCCACCCCCGCCCGGCACCGGUGCCCACCCCAACGCGGUGCCCAGCUCGGCUGCAGCGCUCACCGUCACGGAGGCUCCCAGCCCGGGCACGGAGCUGGCCACGGGGCCGGCGAGCACCAGCCCCAGCCCCACGGAGCCGGAGGGGCCGCCCGAGGCCGCGGGCACACCGGCCAACGGGACCACGGCCACCCCCGUGCCCGUGCCCACGGAGGGGCCCACCAGCGCCCCGGUCACAACCGCCCCGCCGUGCCCCGGGGACGAGGAGCCAGCUGAGGUCUGCGGGGAACCCACAGGGGAAGAGACGGCGGCGGUGGCCGAGGCGCUGAGCACCUUCGCCCUGCGCUUCUACCAGCGGCUGGCGGAGGCCACGGAGCCCAGCACCAACCUGCUCUUCUCGCCCAUCAACGUGGCCUUGGGGCUGUCACAUCUCCUGCUGGGUGAGGGGCACCGCAGUGCCAGCACUGCGAUGGGCACAGCUGUGGGCGCUGCUGUGGGGACCGCGAUGGGCACCGCUAUGGGUGCUGCUAUGGGGCACCGCUAUGGGCACCACUAUGAAUUGCUAUGGGCACCGCUAUGGGCACCGCAACGGGCAGUGCUAUGGGCACCACUGUGAACACUGCUAUGGGCACUGCUAUGGGGCACCGCUAUGGGGCACCACUAUGAACACUGCUAUGGGCACCGCUAUGGUGACCAUGAUGGGCACUGCUGUGGGGCACCACUAUGGGCGCUGCUAUGGGCAUUCAACGGGCACUGCUAUGGGCACCACUACGAACACUGCUAUGGGCACCGCUAUGGGGCACUGCUAUGGGGCACCACUAUGAACACUGCUAUGGGCACUGCUAUGGGGCACUGCUAUGAGCACCACUAUGGGUACCACUAUGGGCACCGCUAUGGGCACUGCAAUGGGUGCUGCUAUGGGCACCGCUAUGGGGCACUGCAACGGGCUCUGCUAUGGGGCACCACUACGAACACUGCUAUGGGCACUGCUAUGGGGCACCGCUAUGGGCACCACUAUGAACUGCUAUGGGCACCGCUAUGGUGACCAUGAUGGGCACUGCUGUGGGGCACCACUACGAACACUGCUAUGGGCACCGCUACGAACACUGCUGUGGGGCACCACUAUGAACACUGCUAUGGGCACCGCUACGGGCACCGCAAUGGG